rnacentral:rRNA from 1 species
ACCUGGUUGAUUCUGCCAGUAGUCAUAUGCUUGUUUCAAGGAUUAAGCCAUGCAAGCCUAAGAGUAACCUAUUUAUAGGAGGUCUGCGAACGGCUCAUUAUCUCAGAGAUAAUUGACCGGGAGAAUUGCAGCUCACGCUGCCCAAUGGAUAACUUUGCGAAACGCAAAGCUAAUACAUGCAUGAACAGCAGGGCGCGCCACCCAGGGGCAGCGGUAACACGCGGCCCCGGCGCACCUGCGCGAAUGGUCGCUACGAAGACCACCGCCGAGCAAUCGGCAGAGUCCCAGAGCGAUGAAUCAGACCAUUCAGCGAAAGCUCGCUUCGGCGAGCGGGUCCCGACUAGUCUCUGCCCUAUCAGCUCUGACGGUAGUGUAUUGGACUACCGUGGCGAUAACGGGUACGGGGAAUUAGGGUUCGAUUCCGGAGAGGGAGCCUGAGAGAUAGCUACCACUUCUACGGAGGGCAGCAGGCGCGUAAAUUGCCCAAUGCCAAAUCGGCGAGGCAGCGACGAACAAUAGCGAUCCCGACUCUUCGGAGCUCGGGAGUUGCAAUGUGUGGUACGUAAAGCCACCAACGAGGAUCAAUUGGAGGAAAAGUCUGGUGCCAGCACCCGCGGUAAUUCCAGCUCCAAUAG